GACGAACGCUGGCGGCGUGCUUAACACAUGCAAGUCGAGCGGUAAGGCCCUUUCGGGGGUACGACGAGCGGCGAACGGGUGAGUAACACGUGGGUGACCUGCCCUCAGCUCUGGGAUAAGCCCGGGAAACUGGGUCUAAUACCGGAUAUGACUUCAUGACGCAUGUUGUGGAGUGGAAAGCCUUGUGCGGCUGAGGAUGGGCCCGCGGCCUAUCAGCCUGUUGGUGGGGUGAGGCCUACCAAGGCGACGACGGGUAGCCGGCCUGAGAGGGCGACCGGCCACACUGGGACUGAGACACGGCCCAGACUCCUACGGGAGGCAGCAGUGGGGAAUCUUGCGCAAUGGGCGAAAGCCUGACGCAGCGACGCCGCGUGAGGGAUGACGGCCU
rnacentral:rRNA from 1 species